UCAUAUUCAAUUUGCGUUUAUUUUUUCCGUACCAAAUAAAUUGUUUAAAAUGAAAAUUUUCAUUUUCUGUUUUUUAUUAUAUUUAUUCGUGUCAAUUGAUGCAUUUGUUAAAGGCGGUAGACCUUACAGUAGACAGAAUUAUAAUAAAAAAAUUCGUGACCCAACUGUUUACACAUUAUCCGCAAUUAAAAUGACAUGUCCAGGCAAAUUUAGAGAAAUCAAUAAUUACUAUGGAAAUUGCAUCGGAUUUCCUAAUCCAAGUAUUCUAAAAAUUGGAACUGUCAAAUGUAAAGGCAAGGCUUAUUUAUGCCUAAAUCAGUAGAGAUUACCAUAUCCCUGGCGGAUUGGAUAAAUCGAGUUGUAACCGAAUUGGGUUAAGAUUCGGUUCCUUGUAAAAUAUUGUCAUUAAUCGACGAAAUAUGUUGUAAAAUAAUAAUAAAUAACUAUUAGGAAUGGUUAAUAGA